CUGGUAGGAAAAACAUUUUGAUUUUCAUAAGUGUUGCCUUAUGAAAUACUAUAAAUUCAUUUUAUUAAUAUUUCAUAAGGUACCACUGGAAACCCUAAGUCUGCCUUAUGAAAUUCAUAGCUAUUUCUUAUGUAAAAUAAUCAUAAGGCAUUCUUAUGAACCAGCCUAGUUCAUUUCAACGAGUGAACGUUAUGCCUCGACGUAUGCAGUUGUCAAAUUCUUCGAGACGAGAUUCACAUAAAACGUUUUCCAAAUACUUCCACCAUACGCGCUACACCAUGAAAUCUUAUUAACGAGAGCUGCUCUAGCAAAAACUAUAAUUGCUACAAGGCUUUGUGUUCCUCAAUUGUGCAGACGAAGAAAUGUGUAUUUAUUAUACUGUGAAACAGCUUCUAGUCACCUUCAAUCAACCUCUGAAAACUGAUUCAAUCUACCUGUUCCUGGGAUAGACCGAUCGAGCGAUUUCCGUUAGCACAUAGUAUGCCGCAAAAAUACCACAUCCACUGGUCAUGAAGUUCUUCCUCUCCAAUUCGAUGCUAUCCCACAUGCCAUUAGUCAAAAUCACGGUCAACUCGCGGUCAACAGCACAAAGAAAAUAACUAUUGAACCAAUCAUUAUGCAAAAGUUACCAAAAAUCUGGAUACGACUGCCUACGCUGUAGAUUCGGUUAUCCGGUAAAUAAUUGAUUCGGCCACUGCGUCCUCCUCCUCCUUACACCAAACAACAAAAACUACAAGCACUUUUAUUACGAGUGGCGUUACAGAAUAACUUGAAGCAAAGCAGAAUGUUUUACUUCAACUAUAAAGAUUCCAAGAUAAAUCGACACUGAAGGAUCAUAUUGAAGAGAAUAUGUAUACGCACAUCCCUGGCCUCAUCAAACUAGAAAAAACGUCAAUAGAAGUUAAAGUUGCGGGAAAGCGAUUUUCACAAGGAUUUUCAUCAAGCUUCAGAGAAACCCGUCGAGGCGGAAUGGCGAAUCGAGACGGAUUUCAAAGCAAUUAACGGAUACAGAAGAAGAGAUAAGGAAGAGAUCGAUUCGGAAAUGAAAAAAAAUCACCACUUUUAUCAUUCAAAAUGGAAGGAAAAUUCAAGCGUGUUGUCGUCCGAAAACAAUAACAACAGCCGUCCGG